rnacentral:rRNA from 1 species
UACAUAAGGAGCAAGCGUUGUCCGGAAUCAUUGGGCGUAAAGAGCUCGUAGGCGGUCUUUCAAGCCAGAAGUGAAAGGCUACGGCUCAACCGUAGUAAGCUUUUGGAACUGUAAGACUUGAGUGCAGGAGAGGAGAGUGGAAUUCCUAGUGUAGCGGUGAAAUGCGUAGAUAUUAGGAGGAACACCAGUAGCGAAGGCGGCUCUCUGGACUGUAACUGACGCUGAGGCACGAAAGCGUGGGGAGCAAACAGGAUUAGAUA